GGGAUAUGGCGAAAUCGGUAGACGCUACGGACUUG
rnacentral:tRNA from 1 species